rnacentral:rRNA from 1 species
AGAGUUUGAUCAUGGCUCAGAAUCAACGCUGGCGGCGCUAACACAUGCAAGUCGCACGAGAAAGCCGGGGCAACCUGGCAAGUACAGUGGCGUACGGGUGAGUAACACGUGGAUCAUCUACCUCUUGGUGGGGAAUAACCCUGGGAAACCGGGGCUAAUACCGCAUAAGCCUGGAAAGGGAAAGCGUCGUCCUCAAAAAACGACGCGCCGAGAGAGGAGUCCGCGGCCGAUUAGCUAGUUGGUAGGGUAACAGCCUACCAAGGCAAUGAUCGGUAGCCGGCCUGAGAGGGCACACGGCCACACUGGCACUGAAACACGGGCCAGACUCCUACGGGAGGCAGCAGUGGGGAAUCUUGCACAAUGGAGGAAACUCUGAUGCAGCGACGCCGCGUGAGCUGAAGCCCUUCGGGGUGUAAAGCUCUUUCGACGGGAACGAUAAUGACGGUACCCGGAGAAGAAGCUGCGGCUAACUACGUGCCAGCAGCCGCGGUAAUACGUAGCAGCAAGCGUUGUUCGGAAUUACUGGGCGUAAAGAGUGUGUAGGCGGUUCUCUAAGUUCGGGUGAAAUCUCCCGGCUUAACUGGAGGGUGCCCGGAAACUGGAGGGCUUGAGUAUGGGAGAGGAAAGCGGAUUCCUGGUGUAGCGAAAUGCGUAGAUAUCAGGAGGAANNCCUGCGGUGUAGACAGCUUUCUGGACCAUCACUGACGCUGAGACACGAAAGCGUGGGUAGCAAACAGGAUUAGAUACCCUAGUAGUCC